CUGAUAACGCUCACUCCUUUACUGUAAUGACCCAGGUCAGCAGCACCGCCAUAUAAGCACUGUCAGAGGCCACACUUACAUUAAUCCCAGCGUUUGUUGAACUGCUAGCUCUGUUUCUGAUAACAUCUUAUUACAGCUGGAUCUAAAUGACCUGCACAUCUGAAAGCUGAUGUAUUCUAAACUACAUCAUUUGAUUUAAUUAAAAUAUAGCUUCUUCUCACAACUUUUUCUCAGUUGUGCUACACAUGAAUGCUAGAUACUCAAACCUAUGAGAAAUCUGUGCUCACACCAUGGUCAGUAAGCCAGCGGGGCUUUUGUGACUCCUGUCACCUCACCCACGAAUCCUUAACAGCAAUGUGAAAUUAAUAGCACAGCAGGUUAUUCCUCUUCUUUCAACAUUCCUCCACAGUAGGUAGGUCCAAAAGCCAUUUCAACAGAGGUAGUAAGAAGGAAUUAAUCACCAAUAAUUAAACAAACUCUGAUUUUGACAUCAACAAAAUUAAAAUUCAUUUACAGUUCACUGAUGGACACUAUAACUAAAAGACAAUAUACCCUUAAGCACCUUUUUAUUGCUGACAGUAAUACUUGGGUUAGAAAUUAGCACAGCAUGGUUUUUAAAUCUCAAACUGAGACUGCAGAGAAGGCAGUUAAAAAAGGGUUGGUUGUUGGCGGGUUGGUUUUUUUGGUGGUUUUUUUUUUUUUUUUUUUCCCCUUAACUUGCAAACUGAGCAAACUCAAUCUGGAAGUCAUUAACAGAUAAUAAACAUAACCUUCCCCCACUCACUCCCAAGAUGCCAUCUCAAGAGUCACUUUUCAGAACACAGUUGUAUUUUUACAACAUGUCAUCCUACAGAGAAGAGCCCCACAGACAUUCAUUUUAUCUGAUUUCUCCCUUACCGCUAAGGAAUUAGUGCAUUCUCUACAGCAGGACUCAGUUCCUGGCAAGCAAAACGAAAUGGAGUGAAAGGAGAAGGAAGUUGGAAAAGAAGUAAGAGGCAUUCAGGAAUGUGAAUGAAUUACAAAUAAUGCUUUUCAGAAUCUGUCUUCAAUUUAAAAAGAAGGAAAGAGAAGAUCCUUAGAGAAGUGGUGCUCUUGCCAUCGUGGCCAAAGGGUGUGAAGAAGGGUUUCUACGGAGGAGAUUCUGUUCCACAUCAUUGAGAUUCACAAGCCUGCAUUCUGUCAGCGAAGAGAGAUGCACAGCUUAUCACCUCCCUUAUUAAAAAAGGAACUCAAAAUCAGGCAUGGUAUAAAUACAACAGGACCUGCUUCGCUGAACUUAAAUUUUCUACCUUACUGGUCUUAUGAGCCUUGGAGGAAAAUGAAUGUGUUAAAGAAAGACAGACCUGGUGACCCAACGAAGAUUACAAGGAAAGAUAUUCAAUAAUAAAGGGACUAAGCACAGGAUAAGCAGACCACAAAACAACACAUCAGACAAAGACUGGAGAUUGAAAAAUUGGACAUUCAAGAAGAAGUCAAUGAUGGAAAGAUAUCUCAAGUUGUUAUCUAAAUGUCAUUCUACCACCAAAAUUAAGAACAGCUUUGAGAAAUCAGAUACCACUUAUUUCCACUGACACAUCUCAAAAACUUGCAGACAACACAAGAAAGAGAUGCCUUUCUAGGCAAGCCUGUGAAGCUAAGAAGCGUGGGCUGUGAGUAAGAAUGGAAUUAAGGAAAAAAAAAAAAAAAAAAAAGAUUUGCUCUUGAUUCUUCCUUAUUUAAAUACAAAAAUCUAUGGAUUAGGCUUUCUGAUCUCACAAGAAAAUUUUAAAAGACAAAAUGAACAUAUUAAGAGCUUGUAAGAAUAAGAAUAUCAGAGAAAUAAUUGCUGUAUUUGAUAUACACAGAGUCCUUUAAAAUCUGACUUCUCUUAAUAGGAAAACAAAACAAGACUUCUCUGGAUUGUCUCUUUGUAUAACAGAACAUACGAACAGCUCCUCUCAGUCAAACCAAAGGUACAUGCAGUGCAGUAUCCUACUUCCAACUCUGACCAAUAUGAGAUGCCUGAAGAUGACUGUAAGAGCAUGGCAAGCACAGUGAUAUUUCCACAGAAAUCUCUCCUGGCCACAAGCAUUUUGUGGCUGAGGAGCCACAGAGGUGGUGACUGCAUUUUAGAGUUCUCUAUGACAUUUUCUACUAACCAACUCUGGGAUCUUUGAAGUUUUAAACAUUUGGUAUUUAACAGCAUCCUUGGGUGCUUAUGAAAAUUGUAUGAAGAGCCAUUUCUGCUUUGUUUUCCUUUUUUAAAAAGUUUAAUCUGAUGUUCUGCUAGUCUCAUUUGUUUUAAAAUUAGAAAGUAAUCAGAGAACUUAUAACACAUAACAUCUUGCAAUAGAUAGCUGAAGGCUUUUGCAUAUUAAAACAUCUUGCAAGCAGAAAGCUCAUAUGACAUUCUGGGAGAAGGAACUGAGGUUCCUUUUCCCAGUUCUGCUCAUUUAAUAUUCCCAAACUACUGCAUAACAAUUCCUAUUUUCUGGAUUCAAUAUUUUCAAGUUCAUAUACUGUAACCAAAACUUCUAAUGUAAGUUUUGUAAAACAUUUUAUAUUACACUGUAAUGUUCUGAGAGAUGAUUUUACAACACAAUUUAACUCGACGAC